rnacentral:rRNA from 1 species
UCAGAGAUGAGGUUUUCCCGCAAGGGACGACUGGAUAGGUGCUGCAUGGCUGUCGUCAGCUCGUGUCGUGAGAUGUUGGGUUAAGUCCCGCAACGAGCGCAACCCUUGCCCUUAGUUGCUCGUCCGCAAGGAAAGCACCCUAAGGGAACCGCCUCGGAUAACGGGGAGGAAGGUGGGGAUGACGUCAAGUCCUCAUGGCCUUUAUGCCCAGGGCUACACACGUGCUACAAUGGCCGGUACAAAGCGUCGCGAACCCGCGAGGGAGAGCCAAUCGCCAAAAACCGGUCUCAGUUCGGAUUGCAGUCUGCAACUCGACUGCAUGAAGCUGGAAUCGCUAGUAAUCGCGUAUCAGAACGACGCGGUGAAUACGUUCCCGGGCCUUGUACACACCGCCCGUCACAUCACGAAAGUGGGUUGCACUAGAAGUCGGUGAGCCAACCGCAAGGGGGCAGCCGCCCAAGGUGUAAUUCAUGAUUGGGGUGAAGUCGUAACAAGGUAGCCGUA